GACAGAGGUUGCAAACGUUGUUCGGAAUUACUGGGCAUAAAGCGCACGUAGGUGGUCUGCUAAGUCGGGCGUGAAAUCCCUCGGCUCAACCGAGGAAUUGCGUUCGAUACUGGCAGGCUCGAGGUUCGGAGGGGUAAGUGGAACUCCUGGUGGAGCGGUGAAAUGCGUAGAUAUCAGGAGGAACACCGGUGGCGAAAGCGACUUACUGGCCGAAAUCUGACACUGAGGUGCGAAAGCUAGGGUAGCAAACGGG
rnacentral:rRNA from 1 species